rnacentral:rRNA from 1 species
AGAGUUUGAUCCUGGCUCAGAGCGAACGCUGGCGGCAGGCUUAACACAUGCAAGUCGAGCGGGCGUAGCAAUACGUCAGCGGCAGACGGGUGAGUAACGCGUGGGAACGUACCUUUUGGUUCGGACCAACACAGGGAAGCUUGUGCUAAUACCGGAUAAGCCCUUACGGGGAAAGAUUUAACGCCGAAAGAUCGGCCCCCGUCUGAUAAGCUAGAUGGUAGGGUAACGGCCUACCAAGCCGACGAUCAGUAGCUGGUAUGAGAGGAUGAUCAGCCACAUUGGGACUGAGACACGGCCCUAACUCCAACGGGAGCCAGCAGUGCGGAUUAUUGGACAAUGGGGGCAACCCUGAUCCAGCCAUGCCGCGUGAGUGAUGAAGGCCCUAGAGUUGUAAAGCACUUUUGUGCGGGAAGAUAAUGAGGGUACCGCAAGAAUAAGCGCCGGCUAACUCCGUGCCAGCAGCCGCGGUAAUACGAAGGGGGCUAGCAUUGCUCGGAAUCACUGGGCGUAAACGGUGCGUAGGCGGGUCUUUAAGUCAGGGGUGAAAUCCUGGAGCUCAACCCCAGAACUGCCUUUGAUACU